rnacentral:rRNA from 1 species
CCUACGGGAGGCAGCAGUGAGGAAUAUUGGUCAAUGGACGAGAGUCUGAACCAGCCAAGUAGCGUGAAGGAUGACUGCCCUAUGGGUUGUAAACUUCUUUUAUAUGGGAAUAAAACGUUCCACGUGUGGGAUUUUGUAUGUACCAUAUGAAUAAGGAUCGGCUAACUCCGUGCCAGCAGCCGCGGUAAUACGGAGGUGCCGAGCGUUAUCCGGAUUUAUUGGGUUUAAAGGGAGCGUAGGUGGAUUGUUAAGUCAGUUGUGAAAGUUUGCGGCUCAACCGUAAAAUUGCAGUUGAAACUGGCAGUCUUGAGUACAGUAGAGGUGGGCGGAAUUCGUGGUGUAGCGGUGAAAUGCUUAGAUAUCACGAAGAAUUCCGAUUGCGAAGGCAGUUCACUGGACUGCAACUGACACUGAGGCUCGAAAGUGUGGGUAUCAAACAGGAGUAGAUACCCCUGUAGUC